CCUACGGGAGACAGCAGUGGGGAAUAUUGGGCAAUGGGCGCAAGCCUGACCCAGCAACGCCGCGUGAAGGAAGAAGGCUUUCGGGUUGUAAACUUCUUUUCUCAGGGACGAAGCAAGUGACGGUACCUGAGGAAUAAGCCACGGCUAACUACGUGCCAGCAGCCGCGGUAAUACGUAGGUGGCAAGCGUUAUCCGGAUUUACUGGGUGUAAAGGGCGUGUAGGCGGGACUGCAAGUCAGAUGUGAAAACCACGGGCUCAACCUGUGGCCUGCAUUGGAAACUGUAGUUCUUGAGUGCUGGAGAGGCAGACGGAAUUCCUAGUGUAGCGGUGAAAUGCGUAGAUAUUAGGAGGAACACCAGUGGCGAAGGCGGUCUGCUGGACAGCAACUGACGCUGAGGCGCGAAAGCGUGGGGAGCAAACAGGAUUAGAUACCCGGGUAGUC
rnacentral:rRNA from 1 species